AACUCCGUGAUAGCUGGUUCUCCCCGAAAUGCAUUUAGGUGCAGCGUCGUGUGGUGCUUGCCGGAGGUAGGGCGCUGGUUGGCCGAUGGGCCUUCCCGGGUUACUGAGGUCAGCCAAACUUCGAAUGCCGGUAAGUGGAGCGCGGCAGUGAGACUGCGGGGGAUAAGCUUCGUGGUCGAGAGGGAAACAGCCCAGAUCGUCGAUUAAGGCCCCUAAGCGUGUGCUGAGUGGGAAAGGAUGUGGAGUCGCUGAGACAGCCAGGAGGUUGGCUUAGAAGCAGCCAUCCUUUAAAGAGUGCGUAAUAGCUCACUGGUCUAGUGAUUCCGCGCCGACAAUGUAGCGGGGCUUAAGCACACCGCCGAAAUCGCGGCACUGCACGUGUUGUGCGUGUGGUGGGUAGGGGAGCGUCGUGUCGCCGGUGAAGCUUGGGAGUGAUCCUUGGUGGAGGCGGCGCGAGUGAGAAUGCAGGCAUGAGUAGCGAGUCAGAAGUGGGAAACUUCUGCGCCGGAUGACCAAGGGUUCCUGGGGCAGGCUGAUCCGCCCAGGGUAAGUCGGGACCUAAGGCGAGGCCGACAGGCGUAGUCGAUGGACAACGGGUUGAUAUUCCCGUACCCGCUGUGGUGCGACCAUGUCGAGGCCGGUGAUACUAAGGGUCCUAGCCCGGCCUGGCUUCGGGUAUCGGUGUCGGGUGAACGCCCGGCCUGAUCCGGUAGUAGGCAAGCGAUGGGGUGACGCAGGAGGGUAGCCCAUCCCAGGCGGUGGUUGUCCUGGGGUAAGCAUGUAGCCCGUGCCGUAGGCAAAUCCGCGGCACAUGUGGGUGAGGUGUGAUGCCGAGCCGAUUGUGGCGAAGUGGGUGAUCCCAUGCUGCCGAGAAAAGCCUCUAGCGAGUGCCGCGGCGGCCCGUACCCUAAACCGACUCAGGUGGUCAGGUAGAGAAUACCGAGGCGUUCGGGUGAACUGUGGUUAAGGAACUCGGCAAAUUGCCCCCGUAACUUCGGGAGAA
rnacentral:rRNA from 1 species